GACGAACGCUGGCGGCGUGCUUAACACAUGCAAGUCGAACGGAAAGGCCCCUUUGGGGGUACUCGAGUGGCGCACGGGUGAGUAACACGUGAGUAACCUGCCCUUGACUUCGGGAUAACUUCAGGAAACUGGGGCUAAUACCGGCUAGGAACCUUUGCUGCAUGGCGGGGGUUGGAAAGCUUCGGCGGUUUUGGAUGGACUCGCGGCUUAUCAGCUUGUUGGUGGGGUAGUGGCUUACCAAGGCAUUGACGGGUAGCCGGCCUGAGAGGGCGACCGGCCACAUUGGGACUGAGAUACGGCCCAGACUCCUACGGUAGGCAGCAGUGGGGAAUAUUGCACAAUGGGCGGAAGCCUGAUGCAGCAACGCCGCGUGCGGGAUGACGGCCUUCGGGUUGUAAACCGCUUUCAGCAGGGGCGAAGCUUUUGUGACGGUACCUGCAGAAGAAGCACCGGCUAACUACGUG
rnacentral:rRNA from 1 species